CAGAAAGGGAAGUAUGAAGGAGAAAUUCAAGUGAACAGAUGCAGUGAACAGCAAAACACAACUGAUAAAAAUAGAAAUUCAGCAAUAUUUACUGUGAGGACUGCCCUCUCAUGGAGUUCGGGGGAUGAGACAAUGAAGGUUUAGACGAGAACAUCCUGGUUCACUGCGUCAGGUUGACAACGUUGCUGUGAAGCUGUCCAGAACAGCCACAGGAAGACAUAGUCAUUGUUGGUGCCCACAAGUCCUGGUUCCCUCCUGUUUUAAGAAGACCACUAUCAUCCCAGUACCAAAGAAAAGCAAGGUAACAUGCCUCAAUGACUA